CACCCCCUCUCUCUCUCUCUCCCAACUGCGUCUACUCCACCUCUAGCGUAUCUCCUCCACUUCCUACCGUUUGGCUCUCGUUCCUACCGUCGUCGGGCCUCCACCAAUAGUGGUAGCCGCCUACGUUGCCAAUGAGCUAAAAGAUGAAGGAGCUGCCGACGAGCUCGAAGACGAAUGAAACCGAUCGCCGGCGAGCUCGAAGAGGAAGGAACCGCCUACGCGAGCUCGCCUACAUCGGUGGUUGGUGCUCGAUGCGCCGUCGAUUGAGAUGUCCGAUUUCCCACUGCCGCCGUCGAAUCGUCACAAGGUUUGCGGUUUUAGAAGUUCGAUUGCUGCGUUUUGAAUCCUUCACCUGUGAUACGGACAUGGAACCAUCGCUCUGUAGUUCGUCAAUAUAGACUCCAUUCUAAGACUGACCUGAGGUUCCAAAGCCAUGCAGUCUUGGCAUUGCAGGAGGCAACAGAGACAUAACUUGUUGGGUUGUUUGAAGAUACCAAUCUCUAUACAAUUCAUGCAAAGCAUCACCAUUAUGCCUAAAGACAUUCAGCUUGCAAGGAGAAUUAGGGGGGGGGGGGGGGGGGGGAGAGGGCUUAGUAGCGUGUAGGUGGUGAGGCUAUGUGAGGUAAAGUUAAUUGUUCUUAUUGAUCUUAAUGGGAACCUUUCUAGCUGUGUUUUCUUUGUUAAAACAAUAUAGUUAUGUUGUCCUUCCCUGUGGAAACUAAAAGUUUGAUGCAAUGGUUUCGGAUUAUGUACAUAAGAUUAUAUGCCUUGA